UACGUAGGCAGCGAGCGUUGUUCGGAAUUACUGGGCGUAAAGAGUGUGUAGGCGGUGCUCUAAGUUCGGUGUGAAAUCUCCCGGCUUAACUGGGAGGGUGCGCCGGAAACUGGAAUGCUCGAACGUGGGAGAGGAAAGCGGAAUUCCUGGUGUAGCGGUGAAAUGCGUAGAUAUCGGAAGGAACACCAGUGGCGAAAGCGGCUUCCUGGUCCAGCACCGACGUUCAGGCACGAAAGCGUGGGGAGCAAACAGG
rnacentral:rRNA from 1 species